CCUACGGUGGGCUGCAGUGGGGAAUAUUGGACAAUGGGCGAAAGCCUGAUCCAGCCAUGCCGCGUGUGUGAAGAAGGCCUUCGGGUUGUAAAGCACUUUCAGUGGGGAAGAAAGCCUUGGGGCUAAUACCCUCGAGGAAGGACAUCACCCACAGAAGAAGCACCGGCUAACUCCGUGCCAGCAGCCGCGGUAAUACGGAGGGUGCGAGCGUUAAUCGGAAUUACUGGGCGUAAAGCGCGCGUAGGCGGUCUGAUAAGCCGGUUGUGAAAGCCCCGGGCUCAACCUGGGAACGGCAUCCGGAACUGUCAGGCUAGAGUGCAGGAGAGGAAGGUGGAAUUCCCGGUGUAGCGGUGAAAUGCGUAGAGAUCGGGAGGAAUACCAGUGGCGAAGGCGGCCUUCUGGACUGACACUGACGCUGAGGUGCGAAAGCGUGGGUAGCAAACAGGAUUAGAUACCCUGGUAGUC
rnacentral:rRNA from 1 species